rnacentral:rRNA from 1 species
CCUACGUGAGGCAGCAGUGAGGAAUAUUGGUCAAUGGGCGAGAGCCUGAACCAGCCAAGUCGCGUGAGGGAGUACUGCCCUAUGGGUUGUAAACCUCUUUUGUCGGGGAGCAAAAGCCGGACGUGUCCGGCUGUGAGAGUACCCGAAGAAAAAGCAUCGGCUAACUCCGUGCCCGCAGCCGCGGUAAUACGGAGGAUGCGAGCGUUAUCCGGAUUUAUUGGGUUUAAAGGGUGCGCAGGCGGAUUUUUAAGUCAGCGGUCAAAUCGUGGGGCUAAACCCCAUCCCGCCGUUGAAACUGGGGAUCUAGAGUGUGCGAGAGGUAUGCGGAAUGCGUGGUGUAGCGGUGAAAUGCUUAGAUAUCACGCAGAACCCCGAUUGCGAAGGCAGCCUACUAAGCUGCCACUGACAUUGAUGCUCGAAAGUGUGGGUAUCAAACAGGAUUAGAUACCCUUGUAGUC